rnacentral:rRNA from 1 species
GUGGAUUAGAUACCCGGGUAGUCCACGCCCUAAACGAUGAACACUCGAUGUUGGCGAUAUACGGUCAGCGUCUAAGCGAAAGCGUUAAGUGUUCCACCUGGGGAGUACGCCCGCAAGGGUGAAACUCAAAGGAAUUGACGGGGGCCCGCACAAGCGGAGGAGCAUGUGGUUUAAUUCGAUGAUACGCGAGGAACCUUACCCGGGCUUGAAAGUUAGUGAAUGUGACAGAGACGUCACAGUCCUUCGGGACACGAAACUAGGUGCUGCACGGCUGUCGCCAGCU